rnacentral:tRNA from 1 species
GGACCCGUAGUGUAGCCUGGUUUAACACGCCUGCCUGUCACGCAGGAGAUCGAGGGUUCAAAUCCCUUCGGGUCCGCCA